rnacentral:lncRNA from 13 species
AUGUUAUUCCUGGAUUACCCAAUGGUAACUAAGGUGAGGACUGUGAAGCUCAUGGUACUGAGUAUCAUGUCAAAGACACAGAGCUGAUCUGCAGACUAACGUGGCUCUACUCUAGGUGGCAUUUAGCUGGGCUUGGCUUCUGCAUUUGGGUUGGAUUCAGGUUUGUCCCACUUCACACUCUCCUUGGACCAGCAACUACCAGUGCAUGUUCUUCUCCUGGUGAAUGAUAGGAACACAAGAGACCAAAUCAACUGGUGCAAGCAUGUUUGAAGCCUUGGCUCACUGCCACAUCUGCUAAAGGUGAUUUUUGUUUGUAUGCUCAGUCCUGAAUUUCAUUCCCCUAAACUAGUGUUUCUGUUACUGCCCUAUCUGUUAAGCACUGUCUCUUUUUAGAGGAGGGUGGAACUUGGUGCUAGAUUGGGUCUACCCCAGCAAGUCUCUAAUGAUGGUGUGGCAGGCGC